rnacentral:rRNA from 1 species
UUUGGUUAUAGAUGAAAGAUUGGGUCAGGGGACAAGGUCAGAUUCUGGGAAGAUACCUGGUUUGGCAGUUCUCCCCUGGCCAUGCAAUUCUGGCCUAUUUACUCCACUUUUAAUGAACAAACCAAAAGUGUUAGUGAGGUUUGGGAUGGGCUUCAGUUAAAACCUACUUUUAGGAGAAACUUCGAUGACAAACUUAUGGAGCAAUGGUAUCAGUUAGUGGAGGUGGCUAGUAGUGUAGUCUUCUCCGGUGAUAUUGAUGCUCUGGUUUGGCAACUAGAGAAUAAAGGGAUUUAUUCUACCAGCUCUCUCUAUCAUGUGAUUAACUUUAGAGGGGUGCAACCAGUCUAUAUUCCUUUUGUUUGGAAACUUAGGACCCCCCCCCCAAAUUCAUGUUUUUCUCUGGCUCUUUGCUAA